ensembl:ncRNA T18H9.10 ncRNA
GUUUCGGUGUCCGGAACCAUCCAGCUAAUGAUAUUUUGUUGUAUGUAGCGGGUCACACAGAGAAACGAAGAGAAACUCAACUGCCAUUGGCACUGCACGGCGGCUAAUCCCUCAAACACAUUGGAGAAUACUGGAGGCACGCCUACUCGACGACCCGUUCGACGAUUCAUUGUGCGUCCGUGUUGCGAGUC